rnacentral:rRNA from 1 species
GAUGAACGCUGGCGGCGUGCCUAAUACAUGCAAGUCGAGCGAACAGACGAGGAGCUUGCUCCUUUGAUGUUAGCGGCGGACGGGUGAGUAACACGUAGGUAACCUACCUAUAAGACUGGGAUAACUUCGGGAAACCGGAGCUAAUACCGGAUAAUAUUUCGAACCGCAUGGUUCGAUAGUGAAAGAUGGCUUUGCUAUCACUUAUAGAUGGACCUGCGCCGUAUUAGCUAGUUGGUAAGGUAACGGCUUACCAAGGCAACGAUACGUAGCCGACCUGAGAGGGUGAUCGGCCACACUGGAACUGAGACACGGUCCAGACUCCUACGGGAGGCAGCAGUAGGGAAUCUUCCGCAAUGGGCGAAAGCCUGACGGAGCAACGCCGCGUGAGUGAUGAAGGUCUUCGGAUCGUAAAACUCUGUUAUUAGGGAAGAACAAACGUGUAAGUAACUGUGCACGUCUUGACGGUACCUAAUCAGAAAGCCACGGCUAACUACGUGCCAGCAGCCGCAGUAACAC